CUCUCGGCAACGGAUAUC
rnacentral:rRNA from 3 species